rnacentral:rRNA from 1 species
CCUACGGGUGGCAGCAGUGAGGAAUAUUGGUCAAUGGCCGGAAGGCUGGACCAGCCAUGCCGCGUGAAGGUCAGUGCCCUAUGGGCGUUAAACUUCUUUUGUGCGGGAGCAAUAAUGGUCACGUGUGGCCAGACGAGAGUACCGUACGAAUAAGCAUCGGCUAACUCCGUGCCAGCAGCAGCGGUAAUACGGGGGAUGCAAGCGUUAUCCGGAUUUAUUGGGUUUAAAGUGUGCGUAGGCUGUUAUGUAAGUCAGCGGUGAAAUGCCCCCGCUCAACGGGGUGAAGUGCCAUUGAUACUGCCUUGCGUGAAGGCGAAUGCCGAGGGAGGAAGGUGUGGUGUAGCGGGGAAAUGCAUGGAU